AGGAUUCGUUCGUCUACGACCGUUUGUAUUCUUCUUGGAUUCGUUCUUCUUCCUUGCGGGAUCUCAGGCAAGAUGAUCAUACCCUCGAAAUCACCACUAUCUUUGCUAUGCUAGUUUGCUCGCUCUUUUGCCAUGCCAAUGCUACGAUGCCUACCAUUUGCUUGUCAGCCUCCCAAAUUGCCAUGUCAAACCUCUAACCCACCUUGUCCUAGCAAACCGUUGUUUGGCUAUGUUACCGCUUUGCUCAGCCCCUCUUAUAGCGUUGUUAGAUGCAGGUGAAGAUUGAAGUUGUUCCUUGUUGGAACAUGGAGAUGUUGUUCCUUGUUGGAACAUGAUUACUUGUUGGGAUAUCACAAUAUAUCUUAUUUAAUUAAUGCAUCUAUAUACUUGGUAAAGGGUGGAAGGCUCGGCCUUAUGCCUGGUGUUUUGUUCUACUCUUGCCGCCCUAGUUUCCGUCAUAUCGGUGUUAUGUUCCUGGAUUUUGCGUCCCUUACGCGGUUGGGCUAUUAUGGGAACCCCUUGACAGUUCGCCUUAAGUAAAGCUUCUCCAGCAAUGCCCAACAUUGGUUUUACCAUUUGCCACCUAGCCUUUUCUUUCCCUUGGGUUCUGCAGACUCAAGGGUCAUCAUUUUUUAACCCCCCCCCCGGGCCAGUGCUCCUCUGAGUGUUGGUCCGAACUAGAGUCCUGUGCAGCGCCCCCUCGGGGAAACUCGAGGUUUGGUUUUAGUUGUAUGGAGCGCUCAUCUGAGUGUGCCCUGAGAAAGAGAUAUGUGCAGCUCCUAUCGGGAUUUGUCGGCACAUUCGGGCGGUGUUGCUGGUUUAGUUUUACCCUGUCGAAAUGUCUUGUUGUACCGGGAUACCGAGUCUGAUCGGAAUGUCUCGGGUGGAGGUCUAUUCCUUCGUUGACCGUGAGAGCUUGUCAUGGGCUAAGUUGGGACACCCCUGCAGGGAUUUGAACUUUCGAAAGCCGUGCCCGCGGUUAUGGGCAGAUGGGAAUUUGUUAACGUCCGGUUGUAGAAAACCCGAAGUUGACCUUAAUUAAAAUACAUCAACCGUGUGUGUAACCGUGAUGGUCUCUUUCCGGCGGAGUUCGGGAAGUGAACACGGUUGUUGGAGUUAUGCUUGACGUAGGUUGCUAUAGGAUCACUUCUUGAUCAUACUUUUAUCGACCGUGCUUUGCCUUCUCUUCUCGCUCUCAUUUGCGUAUGUUAGCCACCAUAUAUGCUAGUCGCUUGCUGCAGCUCCACCUCAUGACUCCAUCCUUCCUAUAAGCUUAAAUAGUCUUGAUCUCGCGGGUGCGAGAUUGCUGAGUCCCCGUGGCUCACAGAUACUUCCAAAACCAGUUUGCAGGUGCCUAUGUUACCGUGCAGAUGACGCAACCAAGCUCAAGGAGGAGCUCGAUGAAGAUCUUGCCCUUUGUGUUGUUUCAUUCUAGUUGAUCAGUAGUGGAGCCCAGUUGGGGUUGAUCGGGGACCUUUGUCGUAUUUGGGGUUCUUCUUUUAUUUUGGUUCCGUAGACGGACCUUGAUUGUAUCUGGAUGAUGUAAUGCUUUAUUCAUGUAAUUGUGUGAAGUGGCGAUUGUAAGCCAACUAUGUAUCUCUUUCCCUUAUGUAUUACAUGGGUUGUGUGAAGAUUAC
rnacentral:lncRNA from 1 species